rnacentral:rRNA from 1 species
GUCGCAGUGAAAUGGCUCUGGUGACUGGUUAACAAAAACCAUAGGUCUCUGCUAAGCCGUAAGGCGAUGUAUAGGGGCUGACGCGUGCCCAGUGCCGGAAGGUUAAAGGGAGAGGUUAGCGCAAGCGAAGCUUUGAACUGAAGCCCCGGUGAACGGCGGCCGUAACUAUAACGGUCCUAAGGUAGCGAAAUUCCUUGUCGGGUAAGUUCCGACCCGCACGAACCGCGUAACAAUUAGAGCACUGUCUCGACGAGGGACCCGGUGAAAUUGAAAUGGCUGUGAAGAUGCGGCCUACCCGCAGCAGGACAAAAAGACCCCGUGGAGCUUUACUGCAUCUUGGCAUUGUAUUUUGGAUAUAAUCUGUGUAGGAUAGGUGGGAGGCUUUGAAGCUGGCGCGUCAGCGUCGGUGGAGCCAACGGUGAAAUACCACCCUGAUUAUGUUUAGAUUCCCUAACCCCAUUCCGUAAUCCGGAGUGGGGGACCGUGCCAGGU